GAUACAAUGAUGAUAACAUAGUUCAGCAGACUAACACUGAUGAGCAAUAUUAAGUCUUUCGCUCCUAUCUGAUGUAUCUGGCGGUAACAUUCUAGUUUAUGCCCUGAAAAGGGGAAUAUAGCCAUUCUAUAACGUUUGGAGAUUUUGGAUUACUCCUAAUUGUAUGCAAGUUGUCUUACUGUGUAUUGUCCCUUAAUUUCAGGACUCAGAAUUCAUGCUUGAAGAAAUGCAGGUUAGUUUAAACUUUUAAGGAAAUUUUUAAGGUGGCAAAAGGUUUUGGUGACAUAUACACCUUAAUCUGUAGAUGGGAGUGAUUAGCUGUUUAAAAGUUAAAAUGUGACUGAGAAGGAAAUUGAGUAGGGCAAAUUUUAAAUGGGUAUUAUUUUUCAUCUUCAAACAGGCAGACCUGUUAUCCUAAACUAGGGUUUUUAAUGACCACGACAAGCAAGCAUGCAGCUUACUGCUUGAAAGGGUCUUGCCUCACCCAAGCUGGAGUGCAGUGGCCUCUGAAGCUUACUACAGCCUCAAACUUCUGGGCUCAAGUGAUCCUCAGCCUCCCAAUGGUCUUUGUAGACUGCCUGAUGGAGUCUCAUGGCACAAGAAGAUUAAAACAAUGCUCCAAUUUUAAUAAAUUUUUGCAAU
rnacentral:sRNA from 1 species